rnacentral:misc_RNA from 1 species
GCACCAUCGAUCCAGCUCCUUUUUUGAAGGAGUUUGGCAUCGGAUCUGGGCCAAUUCGCGUGAAAUUUUUUGCGCUGGUCUGAAAUCGAUUUUGCCGAGUUUAAAAGCCGUCCUUCUCUCUCAAAGGCGUCAUAGUUGGCUGCGGUCAUCUUUCGCUGAUGUCUGGGCUGGUCGGUUCGGCGCUUUUACUUUUAA